AGCACCACAACGGGUGGAGCCUGCGGUUUAAUUGGACUCAACGCCGGGAAUCUCACCGGAUAAGACAGCGGAAUGAUUGCCGGGCUGAAGACUCUGCAUGACUAGCUGAGAGGAGGUGCAUGGCCGUCGUCAGUUCGUACUGUGAAGCAUCCUGUUUAGUCAGGCAACGAGCGAGACCCACGCCAACAGUUGCCAGCAUAUUCUCCGGAAUGAUGGGUACACUGUGGAGACCGCCGCUGCUAAAGCGGAGGAAGGAGUGGGCAACGGUAGGUCAGUAUGCCCCGAAUCUCCCGGGCUACACGCGGGCUACAAUGGUUGGUACAAUGGGCAUCUACCCCGAAAGGGGAAGGUAAUCUCUUAAAACCAAUCGUAGUUCGGAUUGAGGGCUGCAACUCGCCCUCAUGAAGCUGGAAUCCGUAGUAAUCGCGUUUCAACAGAACGCGGUGAAUACGUCCCUGCUCCUUGCACACACCGCCCGUCAAACCACCCGAGUAGGGUCUGGAUGAGGGUGUGUUAUUUUGACACAUUCGAAUCCGGGCUUUGCAAGGGGGGUU
rnacentral:rRNA from 1 species